rnacentral:rRNA from 1 species
AUUGAACGCUGGCGGAAUGCUUUACACAUGCAAGUCGAACGAUGAACCCUAGCUUGCUAGGGGGAUUAGUGGCGGACGGGUGAGUAAUAUAUCGGAACGUGUCCAUUAAUGGGGGAUAACUAGCCGAAAGGUUGGCUAAUACCGCAUACGCCCUGAGGGGGAAAGCUGGGGAUCUUCGGACCUGGCGUUAAUGGAGCGGCCGAUACCUGAUUAGCUAGUUGGUGGGGUAACGGCCUACCAAGGCAACGAUCAGUAGCUGGUCUGAGAGGACGACCAGCCACACUGGGACUGAGACACGGCCCAG